CCUACGGGAGGCAGCAGUGAGGAAUAUUGGUCAAUGGGCGCGAGCCUGACCCAGCCAAGUAGCGUGAAGGAUGACUGCCCUACGGGUUGUAAACUUCUUUUAUAAAGGAAUACAGUGGGGCCCGUGUGCCUUUUUGUAUGUGCUUUAUGACUAAGGAUCGGCUAACUCCGUGCCAGCAGCCGCGGUAAUACGGAGGAUCAGAGCGUUAUCCGGAUUUAUUGGGUUUAAAGGGAGCGUAGAUGGGUUGUUAAGUCAGUUGUGAAAGUUUGCGGCUCAACCGUAAAAUUGCAUUUGAUACUGGCAGUCUUGAGUGCAGUUGAGGUAGGCGGAAUUCGUGGUGUAGCGGUGAAAUGCGUAGAUAUCACGAAGAACUCCGAUUGCGAAGGCAGAUUACUAAACUGCCACUGACAUUGAUGCUCGAAAGUGUGGGUAUCAAACAGGAUUAGAUACCCGGGUAGUC
rnacentral:rRNA from 1 species